rnacentral:rRNA from 1 species
CCUACGGGAGGCAGCAGUAGGGAAUAUUGCUCAAUGGGCGAAACCCUGAAGCAGCAACGCCGCGUGGAGGAUGAAGGCUUUCGGAUUGUAAACUCCUUUUGUUAGAGAAGAUAAUGACGGUAUCUAACGAAUAAGCACCGGCUAACUCCGUGCCAGCAGCCGCGGUAAUACGGAGGGUGCAAGCGUUACUCGGAAUCACUGGGCGUAAAGAGCGCGUAGGCGGGAUAGCAAGUCAGAUGUGAAAUCCUAUGGCUCAACCAUAGAACUGCAUUUGAAACUGUUAUUCUAGAGUAUGGGAGAGGUAGGUGGAAUUCUUGGUGUAGCGGUAAAAUGCGUAGAGAUCAGGAGGAAUACUGAUUGCGAAGGCGACCUGCUGGAACAUAACUGACGCUGAGGCGCGAAAGCGUGGGGAGCAAACAGGAUUAGAUACCCCUGUAGUC